rnacentral:rRNA from 1 species
UGGGGAAUAUUGCGCAAUGGGCGAAAGCCUGACGCAGCGACGCCGCGUGAGGGAUGAAGGUUUUCGGAUCGUAAACCUCUGUCAGAAGGGAAGAAACCGCACUGUGCUAAUCAGCAGUGCCUUGACGGUACCUUCAAAGGAAGCACCGGCUAACUCCGUGCCAGCAGCCGCGGUAAUACGGAGGGUGCAAGGGUUAAUCGGAAUUACUGGGCGUAAAGCGCACGUAGGCUGCUUUGUAAGUCAGGGGUGAAAUCCCACGGCUCAACCGUGGAACUGCCUUUGGUACUGCUUAGCUUGAAGCCGGGAGAGGGUGGCGGAAUUCCAGGUGUAGGAGUGAAAUCCAUAGAUAUCUGGAGGGACAUCAGUGGCGAAGGCGGCCACCUGGACCGGUAUUGACGCUGAGGUGCGAAAACGUGGGGAGCAAACAGG